rnacentral:rRNA from 1 species
AUUGAACGCUGGCGGCAUGCUUUACACAUGCAAGUCGAACGGUAACAGGCCGCAAGGUGCUGACGAGUGGCGAACGGGUGAGUAAUGCUUCGGAACGUGCCCAGUCGUGGGGGAUAACUACUCGAAAGAGUAGCUAAUACCGCAUACGAUCUAUGGAUGAAAGCGGGGGACCGUAAGGCCUCGCGCGAUUGGAGCGGCCGAUGUCAGAUGAGGUAGUUGGUGGGGUAAAGGCUCACCAAGCCAACGAUCUGUAGCUGGUCUGAGAGGACAACCAGCCACACUGGGACUGAGACACGGCCCAGACUCCUACGGGAGGCAGCAGUGGGGAAUUUUGGACAAUGGGCGCAAGCCUGAUCCAGCAAUGCCGCGUGCAGGAAGAAGGCCUUCGGGUUGUAAACUGCUUUUGUACGGAACGAAACGGCUCUGGUUAAUACCCGGGGCUAAUGACGGUACCGUAAGAAUAAGCACCGGCUAACUACGUG